UUUAAGUGCAACCAUGAGUUUCGGUGUCCAACUUUGAUCUUCUGUCUUAUUUAAAUUUUUUUAUGAUUAGCAUUUUUGUUGUUAUUAGAUGAUAAAACAUGAAUAGUACUUUAUGUGUGACUUCUGUUUUUAAUUUUUUUUAAAAAAAAAUUCAAAUAAGACGGACGAUCAAAGUUGAGCACGGAAAAUCAUGGCUGCACUUAAA
rfam:Oryza meridionalis cultivar OR44 (W2112) chromosome 12, whole genome shotgun sequence.